ensembl:lncRNA
CAGGACGGCAGCAGUCACUCUCAGGCCCCAGCACUGAUGCCGGCUGACAGGGACGAUCCAGAAGGACCUGAGCCUGGAGACCCAGAGACCAGAGCGCCGGGGCCAACAACCAUCCGCCAUCCACCAGGCCUGGGAGGAAGGCACGCUGAAUAUAGGUCAUCCCCGCAGUGGUCGCGGCACGGUGGGCACUAAAGGAGGGCCAUGCCCGGGGGUCUCCAGGCGACACAGACCCUGCCCAGGGAGGCCCUUCUGCAUCGUGCAUUUUAACUCGUUCGUUGCCGGGGAGUCACAGCCACCCAGGAGAACGAUGACAUACCGGGC